rnacentral:rRNA from 1 species
CCUACGGGUCGCAGCAGUAGGGAAUCUUCCACAAUGGACGAAAGUCUGAUGGAGCAACGCCGCGUGAGUGAAGAAGGGUUUCGGCUCGUAAAGCUCUGUUGGUAGUGAAGAAAGAUAGAGGUAGUAACUGGCCUUUAUUUGACGGUAAUUACUUAGAAAGUCACGGCUAACUACGUGCCAGCAGCCGCGGUAAUACGUAGGUGGCAAGCGUUGUCCGGAUUUAUUUGGCGUAAAGCGAGUGCAGGCGGUUCAAUAAGUCUGAUGUGAAAGCCUUCGGCUCAACCGGAGAAUUGCAUCAGAAACUGUUGAACUUGAGUGCAGAAGAGGAGAGUGGAACUCCAUGUGUAGCGGUGGAAUGCGUAGAUAUAUGGAGGAACAUCAGUGGCGAAGGCGACUAUCUGGCACAUAACUGACGCUGAGGAGCGAAAGCGUGGGUAGCAAACAGGAUUAGAUACCCGGGUAGUC